GAUGAAGAACGUAGCGAAAUGCGAUAAGUAAUGUGAAUUGCAGAAUUCAGUGAAUCAUCGAAUCUUUGAACGCACAUUGCGCCCGCCAGUAUUCUGGCGGGCAUGCCUGUUCGAGCGUCAUUUCAACCAUCAAGCCCCGGGCUUGUGUUGGGGACCUGCGGCUGCCGCAGGCCCUGAAAACCAGUGGCGGGCUCGCUAGUCACUCCGAGCGUAGUAAUACAUCUCGCUCAGGGCGUGCUGCGGGUUCCGGCCGUUAAAAAGCCUUAUUUACCCAAGGUUGACCUCGGAUCAGGUAGGAAGACCCGCUGAACUUAAGCAUAUCAAUAAGCGGAGGA
rnacentral:misc_RNA from 1 species